rnacentral:lncRNA from 1 species
CGAGUCAAAAUGCUUCAGAGUCCGAGACGAGACCAAGACCUUUAAAAUUUGGUCUAGAGACCGGUCUCUGAUUUAUAAUGACCACACAAAUAUUUGUCUUGAACAAUUGCUUCUUAUACUAUUUUCUUCAGAUCAUGAGGAGGGUCUUGAAGAAGAAGAGUAGGACAUGAUGGCACCUUCAUGCAGCAGCAGCAUGGCAGCACAGCAUUCCAUCACCACCUCCACCACCCCCAUGACACCACAUCACCAGAACAGAAGGUACCAACCGAUCCCAAGAGAGGUUGCCAGGUGUGUGGAGACUACCCUUCCUCUGACAACAACCAAUCAUCUACACAAUAUUCGGCCUAAUGACUUUGUGAUCAUCUACAACGCCGACCGAAGGUGGACCAACCGGAAGUGGACCGACCCUUUCCGCGUUCAGCUGACGACCCACACGGCAGUGAAGGUCGCGGAGCUGGCGACAUGGAUCCAAGCAGCUGAUUGCCGACACCAGCUGAUGCUGAGACGGAGGCUGACCGAACAACGAAGGGAGAACCGACAAGGCCACUGAGUGAGGCGGCGUAAUAACAACUACACCGUCUAAGCUGGCUUCUCAGGUGCGGUGCACAAAUAAGUGUUCCCUUGCCUCAUGGGAUCACAUGAGCUGGUUUUCUUUUUCACGAGACACACGCUCUGUUGAAAAAGCGUUCUUGAACAAGAGCCUAGAUCAAGCCCCGCCGACGUGGGAUUUUGUUCUUCCUUUGCUUUGUUUAUAAGCCACACCCAUGGAAGGCUUAUAGCUAGGUGGUGGGUGGACAACCUCACACCUAGCUGCAAGAUGAUACAGUCACAAACCCUUCUGCUGUGAUUGUGGAAAACACUCAAGGUUCUUCAUUCAUGAUGCCGCCAAUCAAGUGCGGUGAUUCUAACCAUGGUUCCACUAUUCUUCUAGCUAUUGGUGACCCCAGUUACCACUGAACUCAGUCAAUGAAGACGAGUGAUGUCCUUGAUGUAAAUGAUGAUUUUUACUUAUCUAGAUGGUAAUAGAGGUUGAUUUUUGAUGAUUCAUGCCUUUGAUAAUAAUUUAGUUUUUAAGGCUUAUUUCCACAUUUUUCUUGAUAUGUCUGUGUCUCACAAAAGAAGAAUAUAUCCAAUGUAUG